GUACCUGUUAUUUACAAGACAGGAGUUCGUUUUGCCUCAAUCGCAACUGAGGAGCCUGCGUGUGUCGCCACCACCUACUGAGAUGGUCCUGUGAUUUGAUCUCUCCACACCAUUGUCCAACAAUCACUUUUUUUUUUUUUAAUGAUCAUAAGCUUUGUUUUUCAUAGUUAAAUGCGAGUCACUGAAAAUCUUCAUUUCAAUGUUUUUUAAUUAUCUAAAUAUUGUGAUACGUUAGAUCAUCCGUUAUUCGUAAUUUUCUGUCAUUGUAUCUUACAGAAUAUAUUCCGCAUCAUGGACGGUUUUGAUCAUAGUAAAAGUUAUCUUGUAGGUCCCAGUGAACAGCGACAGAUGCUGUAUUCUCAGUCGCGACAGAGGCAACACGAACUAUACAGGAUACGGUUUACUCCCCUGAAAAAAGCUUUGGUACACUGGUAGAGUACGAUUAUUGAUACGCAUGCAGGCAGAUGUUCUGCACGUGGCUUUAUGCCACUCAAAUUAAUCCGCCCAAAUAAUGGGGCCCACCAUAGAUGGGAUAUAAAUAACCAAUGAAUAUUCGUAGCUGGCUAAUUGGAGUAAAUACAAUGGACUGCAACAAUUAAAAGUAGUCAGUUGAAAUUUUCAUUCAUAUGAGAUAAGGAUCAUCUAGAGGAGUCUGAUUUUGAGUCUACGGCUCGCCUACUUCCCCCAUUUGGGUGCUUUAAUUCGAAUACAUGCAUGCGAAGCGUACUUUCUACGUGUGAAUGCAUUUCGAGGCAAAUCCUCUUUUCCACCGCUUUUCUAAGGAGGAAUGACAUGGGUCAUCGGGACCGCUAAUCAAGUAAUCUGCACUUUGAGCAUGCCGAAGAUAAAAAGAUCAGACCGUUCCACUAUUCAGUGGGGAGAUAGCUCUACCAUAUUACGGUUCCACAGGUUCUACCGUAUCAUCUAAUGGCUGUCAAAGGAUGCGUUUGAAAAACGUCGGAAAAGGACAACGAGGAAAAGAAUAAAGAGUUCGGUUUGCCUCUUUCGCGACAGAAGAACCAGCGUAUGUCGUCAUCCAGUGGGGCCAAAAUGCUGAGAUGGUCCCUUGAUUUGAAGCGUUCAUAUACUCGUUAAUACUGUAAAGAAGCUAUUUUACUAUAAUAAUUCUUCAUAUAUAUGAUGCUAACCUUUGAUUUUUAAAUUUGAAUGGGAGCCACUGGAGACUUUC